rnacentral:rRNA from 1 species
GGAAUUUUCCGCAAUGGGCGAAAGCCUGACGGAGCAACGCCGCGUGAGGGAUGAAGGCCUCUGGGCUGUAAACCUCUUUUCUCAAGGAAGAAGAUCUGACGGUACUUGAGGAAUAAGCCACGGCUAAUUCCGUGCCAGCAGCCGCGGUAAUACGGGAGUGGCAAGCGUUAUCCGGAAUCAUUGGGCGUAAAGCGUCCGCAGGCGGCCUUGUAAGUCUGUCGUUAAAGCGUGGAGCUUAACUCCAUUUCAGCGAUGGAAACUACAAGGCUUGAGUGUGGUAGGGGCAGAGGGAAUUCCCGGUGUAGCGGUGAAAUGCGUAGAUAUCGGGAAGAACACCAGUGGCGAAGGCGCUCUGCUGGGCCAUAACUGACGCUCAUGGACGAAAGCCAGGGGAGCGAAAGGGAUUAGAUACCCCUGUAGUCCUGGCCGUAAACGAUGAACACUAGGCGUCGGGGGAAUCGACCCCCUCGGUGUCGUAGCCAACGCGUUAAGUGUUCCGCCUGGGGAGUACGCACGCAAGUGUGAAACUCAAAGGAAUUGACGG